CCGAGUAGCAGCGACGCAGUCCUUACUCGACGACACGCUCUGUGGGCCUGGAAAAUGCCUUGACGCUCGAGCACUUCGGGAGCUAUACCGGCGGACAGCCGGACGCGGGUAUCUUGGUCGUUCCUUGCUCUGCGCAUCGCUUGAAAACCGGCGGUCAUACUCCAGUGUACGCUGCCAGCGUGCUUUAUUGCCAGAGCCGCCUCCCCUUCUGGUGAUGACCAUAUGCAGCCAAUGCUGAUGUGAACCUGAGUGAUGAACAAAUGCAGAUCUGCAAAGGAGCUGUCCUGAGGCACCAUGAUUACUCAAGUCACGCAGUGAGAGUCAGCAUGCCUGGAAAAGUACUUCAAAGCACACCCCAUCUGGCUCGCUGCACUGCCUCAAGAAAACUGCCUUUCUCCCAUAUGCAAGUUCCUAAGAAGUUACUUUAUGAAGCAAGCCAGCAGGGUGUACGUGUUAGGCAUGGCAGCACGGAGAACAAAUAAACAUGAGUAUUUGGUGCAA
rnacentral:lncRNA from 1 species